AGAAUUUUAAGUUAAAUUAAACUAUAAAUUUUCAAAGUUUAAAAUAUAAAAAAGUUAUAGAUUCUA
rnacentral:tRNA from 1 species